AUACGGAGGGUCCGAGCGUUAUCCGGAAUCAUUGGGUUUAAAGGGUCCGUAGGCGGGAAUCUAAGUCAGUGGUGAAAUCUUGCAGCUCAACUGUAAAAUUGCCAUUGAUACUGGAUUUCUUGAAUUAGUGUGAAGUGGUUAGAAUGUGUAGUGUAGCGGUGAAAUGCAUAGAUAUUACACAGAAUACCAAUUGCGAAGGCAGAUCACUAACACUAUAUUGACGCUAAGGGACGAAAGCGUGGGGAGCGAACAGGAUUAGAAACCCUGUAGUCC
rnacentral:rRNA from 1 species